rnacentral:lncRNA from 1 species
UGCUGUUUGAAGCCUGCCCCACAGGAGGGAAUUUCACGCCCAUUACCGAAAUCUUGUACAGAAGUCUAUAGCUGAAGAGAUCACAGGUUCCAGAUGGAAUCAGUUCCCCGCCAUCCGUGAAGCUCACAGCGACCCCGACAACAGAGGAGCUAGAGGAGGAAAAAAAUCAUUCUUUUUUGAAGGUGUGGCCACUUAUAGUUUUCUAUGCUCCAGUGUUCAGUCCUAAUACAUGUGGGCAGACUGAGAGGAGUAUAAAAACAAAGAUAGUAAAGGAUAUAAAAUUUGAAGGAGGAAUGUUGGGGAAAACACUGGGUGAACUGGAAGAGAAAA